rnacentral:lncRNA from 1 species
GCCAUAUGAAGAAGAGUGAAUCUAUUAUCAAUUAUCACCAACUGGGCCCACUUUGUAAAGUUUCUCCACUCAAAUUAUUCUAAUCUUGUGCUUAUGUUGCAGCCACGGAUUCAAUCUCUUUCCAAAAUUCAAUUAAAAAAAAAAAAGAAAAAACCAAAGACCAUGCUUUAUGAGAAGACACGUCUACAAUGCACCACGCUUACC